AAGCCAAGGGGUUAAGAUGAUCUUUUUGAAAUUCAACGAUAAAAAGGACGUAUUUCCGGUUACCAAAAGUUGUGUGUUUUUGCUGAAUGAUUAUACAUGUGCACAUUAUACGUUUUACCAAUCAAGGCAUCGAAAUAGCUGACCAGCCUACAGCAGAGGGGCCGAUGAUCGAGUGUAACGUCAGGCCGACAGACUGUAUAUCGUUCUUCGUGUUUUAAAACCCUCACCUUGUCAGGAUGGACAUGUAAACUCGUCCAUUAGUGCAUUACAAACCAGUCAUAUACAGAUGAAAGUGAAUAGUGAAAAUAUAAAAGAAAUGAAAACUCUGGUAUACACGGGUUAAAAACUACAAUAUAGACCAAAGGAAAAGAAAAAGAUAGAGGAUCAAGAAAACGCUUUAUAAUAUAUGA